GUAUGGGAUAGGUGAAGUGGUGGGUGGACCAGGGACGGCGCAUGGGGUCCCUCCAGUGAUCCAUUUACUACGCUCCCCCUCUCCGGCAUCACACUGCGGCUGGUCGUCCUGGAAUCUCAACUUCGCGGGAUCCAAAGUAGCUACAGUAGUGGCGAGCAAGCGGCCAAAACCACCAAAAGGAGGAGGUAAACAAGAGCUGGGAAAUGUGGACUGGAUCUAACCAGUCGCGCAAAGCCCGGCUUUUACCGUCGUGCGCCACCAGUGUAAUUACAGCCCGCUCGUGAAUGGCCAUCCCGAGGCCGCGGCAGGGUGAGAUCCUAUGUUGUCACGCAAAAGAACUUACGCUCAUCUCGCGUCGUCAUCGUCGGCAUUAUUGAAGAUUGACCAGUAUAUGAUCCAUUCGAUUUGAUCGCAACCGUGGCCGUUGGAUCGCCCCCACCCAACGGCUGCCCGUGCCACGCGGGCUUCCCUCGCGAAAUUCCAAUCGUCUAGUUGUCGGCCGCCAGGCCGACAUAUACGGCAAUCCCGAGGCUUGCGGUAUUUACUGCCCAGGUAAAUACAUUGGCAUCGUAUGGGACCAAUCAUCAUACGCAUGGUUGUUUGGAGUAACAAACUUGUUUCCCAAAAGAAUGAAGAACCUACUUGCUCACUACUAUCAAGUUUUAAAUUCAAUGAUCAAAAGAGUGUGGCUUAACAAACAAC